rnacentral:rRNA from 1 species
UACGGAGGAUGCGAGCGUUAUCCGGAUUUAUUGGGUUUAAAGGGUGCGUAGGCGGACUAUUAAGUCAGCUGUGAAAGUUUGCGGCUCAACCGUAAAAUUGCAGUUGAUACUGAUAGUCUUGAGUACAGUAUAGGUGGGCGGAAUUCGUGGUGUAGCGGUGAAAUGCUUAGAUAUCACGAAGAACUCCGAUUGCGAAGGCAGCUCACUGGAGUGUAACUGACGCUGAGGCACGAAAGUGUGGGUAUCAAACAGG